rnacentral:lncRNA from 1 species
GAGCUGGCCCACCCUGCCCCUGAGCUGGGGGGCGCAGGCCUUGGCGUGCAGCUUACCUGCGACAUCAGGCCAGGAGAAAAUGAGGUUCCUUCUGAAGAUGCACUUAUCCUACAACUGCAGCUUGCUAAAGGACAAGAAAAAUUUGUUGAGAUGCUAAAAAGCCAGCAGAAAGUAAUUGCUGAUUUGCAGCACAAACUCACCGAGCAACAGAACAUGUUGAUUAGCCAGCAAACAGAAAUCCUAGAACAACAGAAGAAAAUGUAUGAGCAAAUGAAUCUCAUUAAGGUCCAGUACAGCAUGCUUUUUGACACAGUGAGACAAAUGUCAUUCCAGAAUUUGCAGGAGGAUAUCCAGCAUUAUUUUCAAACUCACCUUCAAGGACUUCAAAACCAGGUCAGAAAUCAUCUGCAGAAGUCAUACUCUGUGCAUAAGGUUGAAGUUGAUGCAAAAAUGAUUGAUGUUGGAGAAACUUCACUGGACUGUGGCCUUUGUGAAAGUGAUGAAUUUUGCAAUUUCCAGAAGACUCCCUCUCAGUGUGAAAAAUGCACUCUUUGCCCUGCUGGCUUUUUCCAAAUGUCUGAAUGUUCUGCAAAUACUGACCGGAUUUGUCAGGACAGGGAUGAAUGCAUUGAAUCUCCAAAUAUUUGUGGUGAAAGAAUAAAAUGUCUGAACACCCCAGGUGGCUUCCGAUGUCUGGGCAUUGCGGAGAAGGAUGCCUCUCUUGGGUUUUGCGGGGAUGGUUAUUUCUUCAAUAGGGAAGUGCAAGAAUGCCAGGCAUGUUGGGAGUGUGAAGACGGAAUGGUGGCUCUCCCCUGCUCUGCAGUUAGUGACACCGUCUGCGCGGCAGCCAGUGAAAGCCGGCUCACCAAGUCUUGGGCUGCAGAUCUCCAGCUGCCCUCAGCAAAGUCUGCCUCUGUUCAGGUCUAUCCUGGCUUAAACCUUAAGUUAAAAGGGAAGAUGAAAUUCGAUAUCGCCUUCAUCGAGGACAACAAGCUCGUCUUCAGGCAGCAUGGCUUACUCUGGGUUGACCUCAACUUCGCUGUGAAACACAACUGUAGGAACUUUCUCCAGCUCUCCCUCAAGUCAAAUAGCAGCGAGGAGGGGUCUGAGCUCAGCGGGGUUCGCAUCGAACAGCCAGAAGGAAAGUAUUUCCAGAGCGCGAGCUUAAGUAGUGCCGCCGAAGUGGAGCCACGCCAGACCCUGGCCGUGUUCUUGAGAAGCCCAAAUCAGUUCUGCAACCAAAGCAAAGACUUGAACGUGUAUGACCUCCACACACCACUCAGCUUGUUCUGGUUGUCCCAUGACACGGGGGCGGUAGCCAUGAGUGCACAGAUGUCCACAGCUACGCACUACCAGACCAACUACCGCCCUACGUUUAAAAUUAAUUCUGUUUCUGACCCGUACAUGAUAAGCUUAUCUCACGACGGAAGAGGCAUAAGGUUCACCGAAGCUGGUGUCAUCAAGUUUGUUUUCCACCAGGCACUGUACUCCAUGGGUCACACUUGUGUCCGAGAAGGGUUUUCCUUGAUUUCCUACAUCGGCAGGAACGGUACCAACGUAGAACUGAUGAACACAUUCAAAUCUGGAGUAAAUUACCGAGACACUUCUCUGUCUGCCUCUGGGGCAACUAGAGUCCAGGCUGGAGAUCAGAUUAACUUUGAGAUUUUUUCGCCAGCUCAGUGUAGCGUUCGCUACUUUGGGGACAGCUCGGGCGUGAGUACAUUUAGCCUCAUCUGGAUCCCAUCUGCAGUUUCUACUGCUCUUUCAGCCACUGUUUCCACUACAGGCCUGCCUACUGGAGCUGUCAGGAACAAAUUUUUGGAUUUCAAACUUGUCACAUCCAAUGAGAAACAGAUACAGCUGGUUUCUUCUGGAAAGUUUGCUCAGAGGUAUUUCAUAUUUACAGAGAAGGGAGUUGCCAGUGUUGCUUUUAACCUAAAGUUGAUCCAUUCAUGUAAUGUGAUCAAGGUUACCUUAAAUCAGUUGAUUCAGGAUCAGACACACCCAGCAGCAAUUGCACAACAAAUCGGAGGUCAGAUGCCAGAGGGAAGCAUGUGGACCAGUGUGAGCCUCUGUUCUUCUUUUGAAGUUCACAAUGGUACAAUGAUCUCCAUUUCUCUUGACUGUGUUCGUGGAAGGAUCAAUCAGAUUGCUCACCAACGUGGAAUGGGCAUAUCAAUUUUGUGGAUCUCAUCUUAAAUUUUUUGGGGGAUAAGAAAAACUGAUGGGUAGCUUUGAAGGUACUCUGUGGACAUUGUAUACUAUUAAAUAGUUUGUGAAAAUGCACAAGGUUUUAUAGAAAUAUUCUUAUUUCAAGAUGUUAGAUUAUAUAUACAAAGAGAAGACUUUCUUUAAAAAAAAUCACCAACUUGCACUGUUAAUAUUUACCCCCUCUAAGAAAUUGGAUUCAAUUUGGGUUCUAGUUUUGACAGCAUAGUCAUAUUAAAUGCAGAAUUUGUGUAAAUAUCAUGAGAAAGUUAAAUGAAUAAAAACAACUUGCCACAGAAAUUCA